AUUGAACGCUGGCGGCAGGCCUAACACAUGCAAGUCGAGCGGAUGAGUGGAGCUUGCUCCAUGAUUCAGCGGCGGACGGGUGAGUAAUGCCUAGGAAUCUGCCUGGUAGUGGGGGACAACGUUUCGAAAGGAACGCUAAUACCGCAUACGUCCUACGGGAGAAAGUGGGGGAUCUUCGGACCUCACGCUGUCAGAUGAGCCUAGGUCGGAUUAGCUAGUUGGUGAGGUAAAGGCUCACCAAGGCGACGAUCCGUAACUGGUCUGAGAGGAUGAUCAGUAACACUGGAAAUGAGACACGGUCCAGACUCCUACGGGAGGCAGCGGUGGGGAAUCUACGACACUGGGCGAAAGCCUGUUCCAGCCAUGCCGCGUGUGUGAAGAAGGUCUUCGGAUUGUAAAGCACUUUAAGUUGGGAGGAAGGGCAGUAAGUUAAUACCUUGCUGUUUUGACGUUACCAACAGAAUAAGCACCGGCUAACUUCGUGCCAGCAGCCGCGGUAAAAC
rnacentral:rRNA from 1 species